GGUGGGUAUAGCUCAGUGGUAGAGCACAUGCUUAGCAUGCAUGAGGUCCUGGGUUCAAUACCCAGUACCUCCA
rnacentral:tRNA from 1 species